AUACGGAGGGGGCUAGCGUUGUUCGGAAUUACUGGGCGUAAAGCGCAUGUAGGUGGUGUGGCAAGUUAGAGGUGAAAGGCCUGGGCUCAACCUGGGAACUGCCUUUAAUACUGUCACGCUAGAGUUCGGGAGAGGGUAGCGGAAUUCCGAGUGUAGAGGUGAAAUUCGUAGAUAUUUGGAAGAACACCGGUGGCGAAGGCGGCUACCUGGACCGACACUGACACUGAGAUGCGAAAGCGUGGGGAGCGAACAGGAUUAGAUACCCUAGUAGUCC
rnacentral:rRNA from 1 species